CAGUAGCCGCGGUAAUACGGAGGGUGCAAGCGUUAAUCGGAAUUACUGGGCGUAAAGCGUGCGUAGGCGGUUCGUUAAGUCUGUUGUGAAAGCCCCGGGCUCAACCUGGGAAUGGCAAUGGAUACUGGCGAGCUAGAGUGUGUCAGAGGAUGGUGGAAUUCCCGGUGUAGCGGUGAAAUGCGUAGAGAUCGGGAGGAACAUCAGUGGCGAAGGCGGCCAUCUGGGACAACACUGACGCUGAGGCACGAAAGCGUGGGGAGCAAGCAGGAUUAGAUACCCCCGUAGUCCCUGUCUCUUAUAC
rnacentral:rRNA from 1 species